rnacentral:rRNA from 1 species
GACGAACGCUGGCGGCGUGCUUAACACAUGCAAGUCGAACGGAAAGGCCCUGCUUUUGUGGGGUGCUCGAGUGGCGAACGGGUGAGUAACACGUGAGUAACCUGCCCUUGACUUUGGGAUAACUUCAGGAAACUGGGGCUAAUACCGGAUAGGAGCUCCUGCUGCAUGGUGGGGGGUGGAAAGUUUCGGCGGUUGGGGAUGGACUCGCGGCUUAUCAGCUUGUUGGUGGGGUAGUGGCUUACCAAGGCUUUGACGGGUAGCCGGCCUGAGAGGGUGAACGGCCACAUUGGGACUGAGAGACGGCCCAGACUCGUACGGGAGGCAGCAGUGGGGAAUAUUGCACAAUGGGCGGAAGCCUGAUGCAGCAACGCCGCGUGCGGGAUGACGGCCUUCGGGUUGUAAACCGCUUUCGCCUGUGACGAAGCGUGAGUGACGGUAAUGGGUAAAGAAGCACCGGCUAACUACGUG